rnacentral:rRNA from 1 species
UGAGACACGGCCCAGACUCCUACGGGAGGCAGCAGUAGGGAAUCUUGGACAAUGGGGGCAACCCUGAUCCAGCCAUGCCGCGUGAGUGAAGAAGGCCCUAGGGUCGUAAAGCUCUUUCGCCUGUGAUGAUAAUGACAGUAGCAGGUAAAGAAACCCCGGCUAACUCCGUGCCAGCAGCCGCGGUAAUACGGAGGGGGUUAGCGUUGUUCGGAAUUACUGGGCGUAAAGCGCGCGUAGGCGGAUUAGAAAGUUGGGGGUGAAAUCCCGGGGCUCAACCCCGGAACUGCCUCCAAAACUGCUAGUCUAGAGUUCGAGAGAGGUGAGUGGAAUUCCGAGUGUAGAGGUGAAAUUCGUAGAUAUUUGGAGGAACACCAGUGGCGAAGGCGGCUCACUGGCUCGAUACUGACGCUGAGGUGCGAAAGUGUGGGGAGCAAACAGGAUUAGAUACCCUGGUAGUCCACGCCCUAAACGAUGUCAACUGGUUGUUGGGAGGGUUUCUUCUCAGUAACGAAGCUAACGCGUGAAGUUGACCGCCUGGGGAGUACGGCCGCAAGGUUAAAACUCAAAUGAAUUGACGGGGGCCCGCACAAGCGGUGGAGCAUGUG